rnacentral:misc_RNA from 1 species
ACACCUCAACUCUCAUGGUUUUACCGUGAUGAGCUUGGACUUUGGGGGUCUUGCUGGCCAGCGGUCGGCUCCUCUCAAAUGAAUCAGCUUACCAGUGUUUGGUGGCAUCACAGGUGUGAUAACUAUCUACGCUUGUGGUUUCCUGCCAGGUAUCCUUCAGUGAUGAAGGGUCGCUGGGGAGAGACAUUUAUGAGCUCCAGCGAGGACGACUUCUUGAAU